rnacentral:misc_RNA from 1 species
GAUGAAGAACGUAGCGAAAUGCGAUAAGUAGUGUGAAUUGCAGAAUUCCGUGAAUCAUCGAAUCUUUGAACGCACAUUGCGCCCGCUGGUAUUCCGGCGGGCAUGCCUGUUCGAGCGUCAUUUCAACCCUCAAGCCCCCGGGUUUGGUGUUGGGGAUCGGCUCUGCCCUUCUGGGCGGUGCCGCCCCCGAAAUACUUUGGCGGUCUCGCUGCAGCCUCCAUUGCGUAGUAGCUAACACCUCGCAACUGGAACGCGGCGCGGCCAUGCCGUAAAACCCCAACUUCUGAAUGUUGACCUCGGAUCAGGUAGGAAUACCCGCUGAACUUAAGCAUAUCAAUAAGCGGAGGA